UACGUAGGGUGCGAGCGUUGUCCGGAAUUAUUGGGCGUAAAGGGCUCGUAGGCGGUUUGUCACGUCGGGAGUGAAAACUCGGGGCUUAACCCCGAGCCUGCUUCCGAUACGGGCAGACUAGAGGUAUGCAGGGGAGAACGGAAUUCCUGGUGUAGCGGUGAAAUGCGCAGAUAUCAGGAGGAACACCGGUGGCGAAGGCGGUUCUCUGGGCAUUACCUGACGCUGAGGAGCGAAAGUGUGGGGAGCAAACAGG
rnacentral:rRNA from 1 species